UGGGGAAUAUUGCACAAUGGAGGGAACUCUGAUGCAGCGACGCCGCGUGAACGAAGAAGGCUUUCGAGUCGUAAAGUUCUUUCAUAUGGGAAGAUACUGACGGUACUAUAAGAAAAAGCACCGGCUAAUUACGUGCCAGCAGCCGCGGUAAUACGUAGGGGGCUAGCGUUGUCCGGAAUCACUGGGCGUAAAGGGUUCUCAGGCGGAAAUGCAAGUCAGGUGUAAAAGGCAGUAGCUUAACUACUGUAAGCAUUUGAAACUGCAUAACUUGAGAGGAGUAGAGGUAAGUGGAAUUUUUAGUGUAGCGGUGAAAUGCGUAGAUAUUAAAAGGAAUACCAGUGGCGAAGGCGACUUACUGGGCUCAUUCUGACGCUGAGGAACGAAAGCGUGGGUAGCAAACAGG
rnacentral:rRNA from 1 species